rnacentral:rRNA from 1 species
AUUGAACGCUGGCGGCAGGCCUAACACAUGCAAGUCGAGCGGAGCGGCGGACGGGUGGGUAAUGCCUAGGAAGAUGACUGGUAGUGGAGGAUAACGUCAGGACAGGGGAGCUAAUACCGCACAGUAUCAGAUGAGCCUAGGUCGUAUUAGCUAGUUGUAGGGGUAAAGGCGUACCAAGGCGACGAUCCGUAACUGGUCUGAGAGGCUGAUCAGUCACACUGGAACUGAGACACGGUCCAGACUCCUACGGGAGGCAGCAGUGGGGAAUCUUCGACAAUGGGCGAAAGCCUGACGCAGCCACGCCGCGUGUGUGAAGAAGGUCUUCGGAUUGUAAAGCACUUUAAGUUGGGAGGCGUUACCAACAGAAUAAGCAUCGGCUAACUUCGUGCCAGCAGCCGCGGUAAUAC